rnacentral:lncRNA from 1 species
GACAAAGGAAACACAGAGACAUAGACAUGGAUCUGGGAAAUACACCUUUUGCUACUCGUUCAGUUUUAGCAAGGAGGUUUCUUGCAUGGCUAAGCAAAACUUAAACUUCCUCUGAGAAUUACAGGAAUUACAGGACCUGACAAAGCUAUGAAGAUUAAACACCAUGGGAUGUAACUUUGUAGCUCCUCCCAUCAAGAAGUCUACUCAAGAGGUCUCAUUGAGGUCUACUUCCUGUACCUCCAAACCUGGGUUGGCUUUGAGACUUGCUUUGACCUAUAGGAAGAAAAUCUGAACCAGAAACAGUAUGGCAGAAUUGGGAUCUGACUCACAGAGGGAAGAACUUAUAAUUCUUCACAGGUCACAUAGAAGCAUGAGAAUUUGGGUUCAAGCAAGUAAAUUCUAAAUCAGAAUCCAUACAUAAAGUGUUUGCAAUGUCCAGUUAUAUCUCCAUGAUAUUUUCUUUGUGGAAGUUGAUUGUUCUUCCUUACAAUAAAUUGCUUGAAUUGUCU